CCUACGGGUGGCAGCAGUGGGGAAUAUUGCACAAUGGGGGAAACCCUGAUGCAGCGACGCCGCGUGAGUGAAGAAGCGUUUCGGCGCGUAAAGCUCUGUCAGCGGGGAAGAAACACGGUUCGCGAGAGCCGCGGACGGUACCCGACCAAGAAGCCCCGGCUAACUACGUGCCAGCAGCCGCGGUAAUACGGAGGAUGCGAGCGUUAUCCGGAUUUAUUGGGUUUAAAGGGUGCGCAGGCGGUCUGUUAAGUCAGCGGUCAAAGCCCGGGGCUCAACCCCGGCCCGCCGUUGAAACUGGCAGUCUCGAGUUGGAGAGAAGUAUGUGGAAUGCGCGGUGUAGCGGUGAAAUGCAUAGAUAUCGCGCAGAACUCCGAUUGCGAAGGCAGCAUGCCGGCUCCACACUGACGCUGAGGCACGAAAGCGUGGGUAUCGAACAGGAUUAGAUACCCGAGUAGUC
rnacentral:rRNA from 1 species